rnacentral:rRNA from 1 species
AGUGAACGCUGGCGGCAGGCCUAAUACAUGCAAGUCGAACGGCAGCACAGCAGAGCUUGCUCUGUGGGUGGCGAGUGGCGGACGGGUGAGGAAUACAUGGGAAUCUGCCCAGUCGUGGGGGAUAACGUAUGGAAACGUACGCUAAUACCGCAUGCGCCCUACGGGGGAAAGUCGGGGACCGCAAGGCCUGACGCGAUUGGAUGAGCCCAUGUUCGAUUAGCUAGUUGGCGGGGUAAAGGCCCACCAAGGCGACGAUCGAUAGCUGGUCUGAGAGGAUGAUCAGCCACACUGGAACUGAGACACGGUCCAGACUCCUACGGGAGGCAGCAGUAGGGAAUAUUGGACAAUGGGUGAGAGCCUGAUCCAGCCGUGCCGCGUGCAGGAAGAAGGCCUUCUGGGUUGUAAACUGCUUUUGCCAGGGGAUAAAAUUCUCAUGCGUGAGAAAUUGGGGUACCUGGCGAAUAAGCCACGGCUAA